rnacentral:rRNA from 1 species
CAGCCGCCGCGGGAAUACGUAGGUGGCAAGCGUUGUCCGGAUUUAUUGGGCGUAAAGCGAGCGCAGGCGGUUCCUUAAGUCUGAUGUGAAAGCCCACGGCUCAACCGUGGAAGGUCAUUGGAAACUGGGGAACUUGAGUGCAGAAGAGGAGAGUGGAAUUCCACGUGUAGCGGUGAAAUGCGUAGAGAUGUGGAGGAACACCAGUGGCGAAGGCGGCUCUCUGGUCUGUAACUGACGCUGAGGAGCGAAAGCGUGGGGAGCGAACAGGAUUAGAUACCCCAGUAGUCCCUGUCUCUUAUAC